CCCUUAGAUGUCCUGGGCCGCACGCGCGCUACACUGAACGGAUCAGCGCGUUUUCCCUUCCCGAGAGGGACGGGUAACCUGCUGAACCCCGUUCGUGGUAGGGAUCGGGGCUUGCAAUUAUUCCCCGUGAACCAGGAAUGCCCAGUAAGUGCAAGUCAUAAGCUUGCGUUGAUUACGUCCCUGCCCUUUGUACACACCGCCCGUCGCUACUACCGAUUGAGCGUUUUAGUGAGGUACUCGGACUGAGCCUCAGAAGAUUCACGUCUUUUGUGCUGCUCGGGAAGAUUCCCAAACUUGAGCGUUUAGAGGAAGUAAAAGUCGUAACA
rnacentral:rRNA from 1 species